GACAAACGCUGGCGGCGUGCAUAAAACAUGCAAGUCGGACGAGCCAAUCCCCGCAAGGGGAAAGGCUAGUGGCGAACGGCUGAGUAACACGUAGGUGAUCUGCCCUGAAGUGGGGGAUAACGACUCGAAAGAGUCGCUAAUACCGCAUGUGACCACCGAUCCGUUUUCGGUGCUCAAAGUCGUAAGACGCUUUAGGAGGAGCCUGCGGCGGAUUAGCUAGUUGGUGAGGUAANGGCCCACCAAGGCUUCGAUCCGUAGCUGGUCUGAGAGGAUGGCCAGCCAGACUGGGACUGAGACACGGCCCAGACUCCUACGGGAGCAGCAGUUAGGAAUUUUGCGCAAUGGGGGAAACCCUGACGCAGCCACGCCGCGUGCGGGAUGAAGGCCUUCGGUC
rnacentral:rRNA from 1 species